CCUGCCCAUAAGACUGGGAUAACUCCGGGAAACCGGGGCUAAUACCGGAUAACAUUUUGAACUGCAUGGUUCGAAAUUGAAAGGCGGCUUCGGCUGUCACUUAUGGAUGGACCCGCGUCGCAUUAGCUAGUUGGUGAGGUAACGGCUCACCAAGGCAACGAUGCGUAGCCGACCUGAGAGGGUGAUCGGCCACACUGGGACUGAGACACGGCCCAGACUCCUACGGGAGGCAGCAGUAGGGAAUCUUCCGCAAUGGACGAAAGUCUGACGGAGCAACGCCGCGUGAGUGAUGAAGGCUUUCGGGUCGUAAAACUCUGUUGUUAGGGAAGAACAAGUGCUAGUUGAAUAAGCUGGCACCUUGACGGUACCUAACCAGAAAGCCACGGCUAACUACGUGCCAGCAGCCGCGGUAAUACGUAGGUGGCAAGCGUUAUCCGGAAUUAUUGGGCGU
rnacentral:rRNA from 1 species